GUCAUUUUACAAAAUAGGUAAAAGAAGUAAUGAAAAUAUACAGAAGUGAAUGAAUUUAUGAUAUGUGCCAGGAACUCAUAUCCUUUCACUUCUUGCUUAUCAGUUACUAAUAAUGAAAACACUUAGGACUUGUGGUAUUCUUAAGUGACAGAGUGCUUGCCUAGCACAUGUGAGGCCCUGGGUUCCAACCCCAGUACACCCAUGCUGCAACAUAAAUAAAAUAAAACACCUAACAUGUAUGACUUAUUUUCUAUCUUUGGGCAGAUAGCAUCAGUUUAUGACUGCGUAUUAACAUGAUGCUGAGAAGAAUGCUCUGAUUCUCAAAGGGAUACAUUACAUGGCACAUUAAAUUGUAACCAAGAUGUUGAAAUGGAUUUUUAACGACCAGAAUUUUCUUUUAAAGAAGUACAUCUGGCCUUUCAUAUAUAUGGAUUCUGCAUCUGCCGAUUCAACCAACUUCAGAUGGAAAGUGGGAACAAAAUUCUCCUUAUUGCAAAUGUACAGACUUUUUCUCGUCAUUAUUCCCUCA
rnacentral:lncRNA from 1 species